rnacentral:lncRNA from 1 species
GAAAUCCAAAUAUUAACAUGGUAUCUCAGAGAAAAAAAUCUUCUUAUUUAUGUAGGGUAAAUAUGAAGAGUAAGAUAACAUCAGUUUACUGGAAAAGGUUUUUCUCAUCUUUUGGAGCUGAACACAAGAUUAUCAUUUCAGGAACCACUCUGAAGGACAUGUUCUCAUUCAGGAAGUCUGAUGCUAAUUACUUUGAAUCAAAGAGCCGGAUGAGCGUAACCUUCCAGUUUGGGAGAUAUUCAUCUGAUGGUAAGAAGGGAUUCUGCUAAUGCUCAGAUUCCAAAAGACAUAAUUUUGAAAGGCCAGAAAAAAGGUGUUGGAAACUGUACAUCUGACCAAGAGGUUGGAAAGUAGUGUCUGAAUCUUUCCUGCUUGCUGUGUUUCCAAUGAAAUGAAUGUUGAUGUAUUGUGUUUCUAAUAGUUAGGCUACUUAAAGCUUUGAAUAAGUGUUUAUUUUUAUUUAUGUUAAGUAGAUAUAUCUUAAAUUCUAGUUAUAAGAACAAUUUAUAAUGCCAUUCAUUCUUAAGUAUUUGCAUUGAGCUCUAGAUGAAUUUGAAAAGUUGAAGAAUAAAUAAAACUAUAUAUAAGUUUCA